rnacentral:misc_RNA from 1 species
UGAUUUUAUGGGUGCAAACAGUAAUAAUUGCAGCAUAAACGGUAUAACUGUAAAAGGAUGAAGAGUCUUCCCAGACUGAUAGUACUGACGAUGGUGAUGAUAAUCUGUCCGAGGAUCCAGAUAAAAAAUCAUCUGUCCUGUAACAAUUGUUCCUCCAGAACUGUAUUAUCCUGUUGAAGUUUCAAACCUUUAAUACUUGUCACUCUCACCGCACAAAAGGGAUGAGGAAAUACUCCACAUAGAAUAACUUCCAUAUGAACA